UACGUAGGGUGCAAGCGUUGUCCGGAAUUAUUGGGCGUAAAGAGCUCGUAGGUGGCUUGUCGCGUCGGGUGUGAAAGCUUGGGGCUUAACUCCAGGUCUGCAUUCGAUACGGGCUGGCUAGAGGUAGGUAGGGGAGAACGGAAUUCCUGGUGUAGCGGUGAAAUGCGCAGAUAUCAGGAGGAACACCGGUGGCGAAGGCGGUUCUCUGGGCCUUACCUGACGCUGAGGAGCGAAAGCGUGGGGAGCGAACAGG
rnacentral:rRNA from 1 species